rnacentral:lncRNA from 7 species
GAUCUAUGCAACCUCAGUGUCAUUAUAUUGGGAGUGUAACUUGUUUUCCAUUCCCUAACAAGUAAUCCCAAGAUCAGUGUGUGUUUUUCUCAUAUUUUGCAGGAAAAACUACUUUUUGUUGUUUAUUUUUUUCCUAGAAGACUCUAUUUCAAAGUACAAUCAGUAGCCAAGCACUAGGGUCUAUAUACAUCCUAAGGAUUUGGACCUCAAUAUUUUUGGUAGGACUGUGGAUGAAAACGAAGGCGUAACUAUAGACCUACAGGCAGAGUUACCCUAUGCAUCUUCUUGAAUCUCUCAUUUUCCUGAACAAGUGCAAUGAUGAGAGAUCUUGUUGGACACAGAAGAGAAGAGAGACAAUAUUUGUCUGGAGCAGCUCUUGCCAGAUGAGAAAUCCCUCAGUGUGCACACAGUUGUUUGACCACCUCGCACAAUGAAAUGCUGCAUCGGGAAUAUCCAUAUGAUAAGGAGACUGGAGGAUGCUUUUCUGCAUAACUUUAUCAUUCCAAUGGUCUGGAGGAUUUGGAUGAUUGAAAACCAACAAGUAAAUAAAGCCCUAUCUAUUACACAGCCAACUGUUGAUAUUUCCAAGCCUCCAUCUCCAAGAUUUGAGUUCCAGCUUUUCUUCUGAACUCUCCUACUUCUUCAUUUUCCAUGUGUGCGUGUAUCUGUAUUCUCCAGGAAGUGGAUGGAGCAUCUUUUCAAGGAUUAUGUCUAAUGAAUGAAAGCAUACUUUGAUCAUCAGUAACCAUGCCCAGGACUUGGUCUCCAUCAGAUAAAAACCCUCAGUAACCCACCUUCUUAUUCAAAAUGUACCUCCUUACCGUUUGCCUGUUUCUGUACCCAUAGCAAAGGGUUCCUUUUACCCCACUGUGUUUUCUUUUUGCUUUUAGCUAGAUUUAUCUCUGCUGAAGGUGUUUUAUUAAAUCUCAUGUGCUACACUCUGCUCUCAAAAGGUGCUUGGUCUGCUUGCCCUCUUAGGAGCAUGCAUGUAAACCUGAGCUUUCUGGCUAAGAUCUCUAAGCCUGUUGCCAAGCGGAUUUGUGCUCUUUUCACUUGACCUUCAUGACUCUGUUCCUUUGAGAUUGUGCCUCUUUUCCCAUGUUCAAGGCAAAGUACAUUCAAUCAGUGUGUGGUACUACUUAAGCCUCCAGUCCCAAACUGAUUUCUUUCUUAACAUUGUGGUUUUAACACCAUCGUGGGGUCUCUCUCCUUAAGCUAGCUUUAUUUGGAAGGGAUAACGUUCUAUUUUCCUGACCAAAACUGAUCCUGAUUCCUUUUCCACUCCUUCUCAUCCAAAUCACUGUAAUCCCAUCAGAAGAGGAAGUCCACAGACAAUUAUGCAGCCAGAUGUUAUUUUCUGAGAUGCUUAAUAAACAACAUUCCAUCAAAGC